rnacentral:rRNA from 1 species
UCAAGUGACUAAGUGCAUGCGGCGGAUGCCUUGGCGAUCACAGGCGAAGAAAGACGCGGCAGCCUGCGAAAAGCUGCGGGGAGCUGGCAAACGAGCUUUGAUCCGCAGAUAUCUGAAUGGGGGAACCCACACCGCAAGGUGUAUCCGUAACUGAAUACAUAGGUUACGGAGGCGAACGAGGAGAACUGAAACAUCUAAGUAUCCUCAGGAAAAGAAAUCAACCGAGAUUCCGGCAGUAGCGGCGAGCGAACCCGGAGGAGCCUAGCUUUUGAUAGUACGAACUUUAGCCGAAAGGUCCUGGAAAGGCCUGCUAUAGUGGGUGAUAGCCCCGUAGGCGAAAGAGUUGGUACGGUACUAAGGAAGCGGGAAGUAGAGCGGGACACGUGGAAUCCUGUUCGAAGACGGGGGGACCAUCCUCCAAGGCUAAAUACUCGUGAUCGACCGAUAGUGAACCAGUACCGUGAGGGAAAGGCGAAAAGAACCCCGGGAGGGGAGUGAAAUAGAACCUGAAACCGCAUGCAUACAAACAGUAGGAGCCUCAUCAGAGGUGACUGCGUACCUUUUGCAUAAUGGGUCAGCGACUUACAUUCUGUGGCGAGCUUAACCGAAUAGGGGAGGCGCAGCGAAAGCGAGUUCGAAAUGAGCGUCCAGUCGCAGGGUGUAGACCCGAAACCAGAUGAGCUAUCCAUGGCCAGGUUGAAGGUGUGGUAACACACACUGGAGGACCGAACCGACUAGUGUUGCAAAAUUAGCGGAUGAGCUGUGGAUAGGGGUGAAAGGCCAAACAAAUCUGGAGAUAGCUGGUUCUCCCCGAAAACUAUUGAGGUAGUGCCUCGUGUGUCGCUCCAGGGGGUAGAGCACUGUUUUGGCUAGGGGGACAUGGAGUCUUACCAAACCAAGGCAAACUCCGAAUACCUGGAAGCGUGAGCACGGGAGACAGAGCACCGGGUGCUAACGUCCGGACUCAAAAGGGAAACAACCCAGACCGCCGGCUAAGGUCCCAAAUAACAGCUAAGUGGAAAACGAAGUGGAAAGGCCGUGACAACCAGGAAGUUGGCUUAGAAGCAGCCAUCCUUCAAAGAAAGCGUAAUAGCUCACUGGUCGAGUCCUUCUGCGCGGAAGAUGUAACGGGGCUAAGCUGUUAACCGAAGCCGCGGAUGCGCUGGUUAUCCAGUGCGUGGUAGGGGAGCGUUCUGUAAGUCUGCGAAGGCGGUUCGAGAGGACUGCUGGAGAUAUCAGAAGUGCGAAUGCUGACAUGAGUAACGUUAAAGCAGGUGAAAAGCCUGCUCGCCGUAAGCCCAAGGAUUCCUGCUCUACGUUCAUCGGAGCAGGGUGAGUCGGCUCCUAAGGUCAGGCCGAAAGGCGUAGCCGAUGGGAAUCAGGUUAAUAUUCCUGAACCUGCGUCAGAUGCGAUGGGGGGACGGAGCAUGGAAGAUCAUCCGGGUGUUGGAAGUCCCGGUUGUUGAGCGUAGGAGGUCUGCAGGCAAAUCCGCAGACGCAUCUCCAAGGCAAAGACACGUGCCGCCACGGCGGCGAAGUGAUCGGAAGUGCUUCCAAGAAAAGCCUCUAAGCACCAGUCUGAUGCGGACCGUACCGCAAACCGACACUGGUGGGCGAGCUGAAUAUGCUCAGGCGCUUGAGAGAACUCGGGAGAAGGAACUCGGCAAAUUGACACCGUAACUUCGGAAGAAGGUGUGCCGUAGUACCGUGAGAGGAGAGACACCUUGAGCGGGAAACGGUCUCAGAGAAUAGGUGGCUGCGACUGUUUAUUAAAAACACAGCACUCUGCAAAGUCGAAAGACGACGUAUAGGGUGUGAUGCCUGCCCGGUGCUGGAAGAUUAAUUGAUGGGGUGAGAGCCCUUGAUCGAAGUCCCAGUAAACGGCGGCCGUAACUAUAACGGUCCUAAGGUAGCGAAAUUCCUUGUC